CUUUCGUGCAAAAUGCAAGUUUCUCUCUGCUUGGGUGGAAUGGACACCUGGUUGGCAUGUUUCCCCAGCAGAGUCGGGUUCUCUUCCAGACAAAUGGGGAAUGUGUUUGUAUGUGUGAACAGCCUGGUUCGGUCUCCACCUGUGAACACAGCAAUAAUCCCUAGGUGCCUCAUUUCCUCUGUAUUCAACUGGGAAACAUCUCCGGAUUUCUAAGCUUCCAGCCCCAGUCAGUAACCGCCCAGUCUUGGUGGCCAGACCUCCAGGCUGAGCCAUGUGUCCCUCAGCCUGAGCUGUGCAAAUUCUGCCCUUGCCAGGAGAGGAGCUGACAGUGCAUUCGAUUUAUUGAGUUUUAGACAUUCUUUCCGGCGUGGAUCAGAACAGAUAUUUUUGUUCUGAGCGGCAGGUCCCAGGCAAGCUGGGAACAGUGCCUAGUUACGGGGGAGCUCGGGGAAGGGGUGCACUUGGUUCUCAAGCAAUUAUCAUCCUCCAACAGCUAAACACACCCCAAAGCGAUCCAUUUUCUCACUGCAGAGCAAAGGCAUCGGAUCGGUUUUUGUGGUAACUAUGCAAUUAGCUCUCCCUGGCACUGCGGUGACUUCUUGGGGAGUGUGUUUGCUACAGAGCACAGUGACAACUGAUUGUGAUCUACGACAUAACAUUUCAGAAAGUGGACUCUGAUUUCAUAUCGUGGAGUCAAGCCUUUCAUCAGAAACAGUUUACUGGCUAAGUUAAGACAGAGGUCCAGGAGGGGCGGCCCAAGCUGGUUGUAAGGUGGGGGUCAGGAGGGGCCACUGGUCUGUCUACUGAGACAGUCUGCUGUCUCAUGAUCCAGCCUCUUAAGAGACCCCGAGAGGCUGUACCACAGAGCUCUCCUGUAAGUCCCUGUCUUUGGAUAUCCUGGCUUUGUGCAGCUAGAGGUAUUCCAAGCACUGGGUGCUUUAUACAGAGUCUGCAGGAGAAGCCACGUGCAAACCAAGGCUCAGAAUAAUCGGGAACUGGGAAAUCUCAGCCUCGAGAAGCCUGAAGUCAGGCGGGAAGAGUCCUACAGUGUCCUGUGCGUGCCAAACAAGACAUUGUCCUAGCUGGGUGUGGUGGUUCACAACUUGCUCAGCAGGUGAAAGUGGGGAAACGACAUAAAGACAUAGACAUACCUUCCCAAGCCUCCAUCAAAAAGAGCAAACAUGGUGACCGGCUGUCCUACGCAGGUGCUGCCAUCUACUCUGCCAUCCACCCUGAUGAAGAAACCAUGGGGAAAUUAACAAGGGCAGCUGUGGCGCACACCCCUGUCACUUCUACACUCAGGAGCCUGAGGCAGGAUUGUGGGUUCCAGACCAGCCGGGCUGUAGAACAGUCCUGUGUCUAAAAGAAGAAGUCAUCGAGAACUGGAGAAUGCAUGCAAGCAGGCCUGGUGGCUUAAAUGAGGAGCAGCAUUUGUGGUCAGGCUGACUCCACAUGGUGGAAAGGGAGCUGAUGCCUGCCAGCUGUUCUCUGACUUCCACAGGCACGGAACAAAGGAGCCACCACACUCUGUGGGAAAGCUGUGGCAUAACCCUGGGAUGAAAUUCUGAGCUGGAGAGAUGGACAGUGGUUAAGAGCAUUGACUGCUCUUCUAGAGGACCUGGGUUCAAUUCCCAGCACCCAUAUGGCCGGUCACAACUGUCUGCAACUCCAGGAUCUAACACCCUCACAGAGAUGUACAUGCAGGCAAAACAUCAUUCCAGGACAGCUAGAGGGGACCAAGAAGAGAUGUUAAGGACCUUUCAAUUCACCAUUCAUUCAAUUGAAAGUCUCCUCCCUCCAGGCUGCAGAGAGAACAACUAAAUAUUUACCCCUGACAAACAUCAUUGGGGUGGAUGACCCAAAUCGCCCCGGUGACGAUUCUAGGCUGCAGUGUUUUCCUGCUGUCGGGAACUUCCAGAGAGAGGUCAGCCAGGUGACCUUCCAGUGGCCCAUCCUCAGUAGAGAUGCCAGAGAGACCUGUGAAAGGGCCUUUGACUCUAGUGUGCUGUUUCUUGCCUCCUUCUAGAAAAACUUAGCCACUGUUUCUUUGCUUUGCCAGCAGGAGUCUCUGUGAUUUCUGAUCGCUGCAUGCAGCGGCCUCUCAGCAGAAGUCUUACCUUGUUGUCGAUGUAGGGAGGGACCCUUCCAUCCUUGGCUGGGAUGAACUGGGGAGGCUGUGGUCUGGGAGUGAAAGGUGCAC
rnacentral:lncRNA from 1 species